rnacentral:rRNA from 1 species
UACGUAGGGGGCGAGCGUUGUCCGGAUUUAUUGGGCGUAAAGAGCUCGUAGGCGGCUUGAUAAGUCGGCUGUCAAACCCCCAGGCUUAACCUGGGGCAGUCAAUCGAUACUGUCAUGGCUAGAGUCCGGUAGGGGAUCACGGAAUUCCUGGUGUAGCGGUGAAAUGCGCAGAUAUCAGGAGGAACACCAGUGGCGAAGGCGGUGAUCUGGGCCGGUACUGACGCUGAGGAGCGAAAGCGUGGGGAGCAAACAGG